GGUCAAAUGUAUUCAAGAUGGACAGCUAGAAGUCUGCUAACAACAACAGUUGCCCUUUACGUCUUGAAAAACGGGAUAAAAAUGAUCAUCAAAGUCAUUCAGUGUUGGAUAUAUCGUCAUGGACAUGUUGUACAAAAGUCUCCGAAAUGAAACCGAAGUUCCAGACCGCGUUACAAAUCUUCUGAGAGGGCCACGAUCGCACGGAAGCCCUUACUGGAACGGCGCACGUCUUAGCUUCCCAUCAAAACAAACCCGCCGAUCAACUGAGUCAACCGAAAGCACUCUGGAGGUGGCUGUGGUUAAACUGAAACGCGGCGGUGCAGCAGUGACGCCAUGAGAACAUGCAACAUAAGUUUACAGGGUGUGUUCAUUCAGGGCAAAACGUUUAUGGUGAAAUUCCUCACAAACAUGUUGUGAUGAUCAACCCGACUGCUUGGACCUCUCAAUUUCCCUUCUUGCACCACUAACUCUUGUUAUAUCUCCACAGAUCAUCCCUUGAUAAUUCUGAUGCCAGACAAAGCCAAAUCUCUCUCACUUAUGUCCCACCUGGAAAUCAAAACUCUUGCCGUGUUCCAGACAGGGCUGGUGUUCCAGACAGCUUGCCUAUCUACCUAGUCAUAAUCACAGCUCAACUAUAUAUUCCAGAUGAGUCACGGCAGUCAGGAGACACGUCUGACGCCUUACCACGGAAGGAUUCGCCUCUCAGCCCUCGGUGGAUGCUAUCUUGACGACUGCAUUGACUGGGAACACCGAGGCAUCGGUCACCCAAACACAAACCGCUCCCGCAACAAAAGCCCCACCCUCCGGAAGUGAGAAACUACAGAUGACAGGAUGUGACGACAUCAUCAGCCCCAUCACAUGGCCUGUCUUCCCAGUGACCAUGGAGAUGUUUUCAGAUGUCUUUUCCUUUUUCUUUUUGUUCAUCCAGAUGUCCAAAACCAAAAGCUGUUCAGUUUUUUUAUCAUAGAGGACAAAGAAAAAAACAGAAUACAUUCAAUUUUGAGAUGGGAAUGUUGCUCGUAAAAUUACUCAAACUCUGGUCAGACUGUUGAUUGAUGAAUCAACAAAUGACUUCACCUCUUAACUUCUAAACUGGGGAAUGUUUGACAAGGUUGGACUACGAGUUUUUGAUAUUAUAUAGAAACUUUGUGAGUGGACGCCUAGAAUUGUACAAUAUGCACCAAUAUUUCCAGACCUCAGGAUUUGCAGAAUGGUAAGAUGUGAGGUCAAAUACAGGUUGCCUGUAGUAGACUGGGUUAAUAUAAAACAACCGAUAUGGCCUGUUAACAAUAAAACUAUAGCUAAACCAAAGAACCUUCAUUUUUGGCUAAACAUUAACACUAUACACAAUAAACCUGUAAGAGUCGUCUGUCUACAGUUUUCAACUGUAUGUUCUCCAAAAUGCUAACACCUGGGUCCACCUGCCUUUUGUAACUCUUACCCUGCGUGAGCGUGUAAGAUAAACUUAUGUUAUCCAAUGAUAUUAUCUGAACAGCCUGGCUGGUGGAUAGGUCCUGUAGAAAUACAGCACACUUUCUGUCUACAACGCAUACAUUAUUUUGACAGAUCAUUUAUAUUGAACUGAUUUUAUUUUGUCUUAAACUCUAUGCUGUAACGUUAAGACAGGUUCAGGUUUCGGUAACAGGACAGUGAAAAGCCAAAGACACUGUUAAAGAUAAUAUUUGGCCUAGAUUCAGUCCUAUAAAAAAAGGAUAUUAACAUGGGGCUUGUUGUAAGGUUUAUGUAGUCGACUGUGUCUGACAGGAAAUGUAUUUUUUUUUAUUGCACUACUGUAAUAGAACACCCCGUGACCCUGAAUGAGAAUAAGUAAGCAUUGAAAAUAAAUGGUCGGAUGUUAGGGAUACAA